GAUGAACGCUGGCGGCGUGCCUAAUACAUGCAAGUCGAGCGAAUGGAUUAAGAGCUUGCUCUUAUGAAGUUAGCGGCGGACGGGUGAGUAACACGUGGGUAACCUGCCCAUAAGACUGGGAUAACUCCGGGAAACCGGGGCUAAUACCGGAUAACAUUUUGAACCGCAUGGUUCGAAAUUGAAAGGCGGCUUCGGCUGUCACUUAUGGAUGGACCCGCGUCGCAUUAGCUAGUUGGUGAGGUAACGGCUCACCAAGGCAACGAUGCGUAGCCGACCGGAGCGGGUGAUCGGCCACACUGGGACUGGGACACGGCCCAGACUCCUACGGGAGGCAGCCGUAGGGAAUCUUCCGCAAUGGACGAAAGUCUGACGGAGCGACGCCGCGUGAGUGAUGAAGGCUUUCGGGUCGUAAAACUCUGUUGUUAGGGAAGAACAAGUGCUAGUUGAAAAAGCUGGCACCUUGACGGUACCUAACCAGAAAGCCACGGCUAACUACGUGCCAGCCGCCGCGGUAA
rnacentral:rRNA from 1 species